rnacentral:rRNA from 1 species
UACGUAGGGUGCAAGCGUUUAAUCGGAAUUACUGGGCGUAAAGCGUGCGCAGGCGGUCCGUUAAGACAGAUGUGAAAUCCCCGGGCUUAACCUGGGAACUGCAUUUGUGACUGGCGGACUCGAGUAUGGCAGAGGGGGGUAGAAUUCCACGUGUAGCAGUGAAAUGCGUAGAGAUGUGGAGGAAUACCGAUGGCGAAGGCGGCCAACUGGUCCAUUACUGACGCUGAGGUGCGAAAGCGUGGGGAGCAAACAGG